rnacentral:rRNA from 1 species
AGAAUCAACGCUGGCGGCGUGCCUCAGACAUGCAAGUCGAACAAUUAAAGCUCUCUUCGGAGAGUGUAUAGAGUGGCGCACGGGUGAGUAACACGUAAGUAAUCUACCUUUGAGUGGGAAUAACGUCCGGAAACGGACGCUAAUACCGCAUAAUGCAGCGGCAUCGCAAGAUGACUAGUUGUUAAAGUAUUUAUCGCUUGAAGAGGAGCUUGCGGCAGAUUAGCGUUAGUUGGUAAGGUAAUAGGUCUUACCGAAGCUACGAUCGUGUA